GAUGAACGCUGGCGGCGUGCUUAACACAUGCAAGUCGAACGAGAAAUGUAGACGGAAACCUUCGGGCGGAAGCCUUCAUUUCGAGUGGCGGACGGGUGAGUAACGCGUGGGUAACCUGCCUCAUACAGGGGGAUAACAGUUGGAAACGACUGUUAAUACCGCAUAAGACCACAGCAUCGCAUGAUGCGGGGGUAAAAACUCCGGUGGUAUGAGAUGGACCCGCGUUCGAUUAGCCAGUUGGCGGGGUAACGGCCCACCAAAGCGACGAUCGAUAGCCGAUCUGAGAGGAUGACCGGCCACAUUGGGACUGAGACACGGCCCAAACUCCUACGGGAGGCAGCAAUGGGGAAUAUUGCACAAUGGGGGAAACCCUGAUGCAGCGACGCCGCGUGAGUGAAGAAGUACUUCGGUAUGUAAAGCUCUAUCAGCAGGGAAGAAAAUGACGGUACCUGAGGAAGAAGCCCCGGCUAACUACGUG
rnacentral:rRNA from 1 species